GACUGGAUGGUGUAUAGGUAACACCUCUGCGUUGAAUUUCUCAGUCCGCUGUACACGGAGCUGUAUCUUCCGCAGAUGAGCCCUGUUCGAAUCGGGGUUCAGUCA